rnacentral:rRNA from 1 species
UUUGGUUAAGUUAGAAAGGGCGCACGGUGGAUGCCUUGACACUAGGAGUCGAUGAAGGACGGGACUAACGCCGAUAUGCUUCGGGGAGCUGUAAGUAAGCUUUGAUCCGAAGAUUUCCGAAUGGGGAAACCCACCAUACGUAAUGGUAUGGUAUCCUUAUCUGAAUACAUAGGGUAAGGAAGACAGACCCAGGGAACUGAAACAUCUAAGUACCUGGAGGAAGAGAAAGCAAAUGCGAUUUCCUGAGUAGCGGCGAGCGAAACGGAACAUAGCCCAAACCAAGAGGCUUGCCUCUUGGGGUUGUAGGACAUUCUAUACGGAGUUACAAAGGAACGAGGUAGACGAAGCGACCUGGAAAGGUCCGUCGUAGAGGGUAACAACCCCGUAGUCGAAACUUCGUUCUCUCUUGAAUGUAUCCUGAGUACGGCGGAACACGUGAAAUUCCGUCGGAAUCUGGGAGGACCAUCUCCCAAGGCUAAAUACUCCCUAGUGAUCGAUAGUGAACCAGUACCGUGAGGGAAAGGUGAAAAGCACCCCGGAAGGGGAGUGAAAGAGAUCCUGAAACCGUGUGCCUACAAGUAGUCAGAGCCCGUUAACGGGUGAUGGCGUGCCUUUUGUAGAAUGAACCGGCGAGUUACGAUCCCGUGCAAGGUUAAGUUUGAAAAGACGGAGCCGCAGCGAAAGCGAGUCUGAAUAGGGCGCAUGAGUACGUGGUCGUAGACCCGAAACCAGGUGAUCUACCCAUGUCCAGGGUGAAGUUCAGGUAACACUGAAUGGAGGCCCGAACCCACGCACGUUGAAAAGUGCGGGGAUGAGGUGUGGGUAGCGGAGAAAUUCCAAUCGAACCUGGAGAUAGCUGGUUCUCCCCGAAAUAGCUUUAGGGCUAGCCUUAAGUGUAAGAGUCUUGGAGGUAGAGCACUGAUUGGACUAGGGGUCCUCAUCGGAUUACCGAAUUCAGUCAAACUCCGAAUGCCAAUGACUUAUCCUUAGGAGUCAGACUGCGAGUGAUAAGAUCCGUAGUCAAAAGGGAAACAGCCCAGACCGCCAGCUAAGGUCCCAAAGUGUGUAUUAAGUGGAAAAGGAUGUGGAGUUGCUUAGACAACUAGGAUGUUGGCUUAGAAGCAGCCACCAUUUAAAGAGUGCGUAAUAGCUCACUAGUCGAGUGACUCUGCGCCGAAAAUGUACCGGGGCUAAAUACACCACCGAAGCUGCGGAUUGAUACCAAUGGUAUCAGUGGUAGGGGAGCGUUCUAAGGACAGUGAAGUCAGACCGGAAGGACUGGUGGAGUGCUUAGAAGUGAGAAUGCCGGUAUGAGUAGCGAAAGACGGGUGAGAAUCCCGUCCACCGAAUGCCUAAGGUUUCCUGAGGAAGGCUCGUCCGCUCAGGGUUAGUCAGGACCUAAGCCGAGGCCGACAGGCGUAGGCGAUGGACAACAGGUUGAUAUUCCUGUACCACCUCUUUAUCGUUUGAGCAAUGGAGGGACGCAGAAGGAUAGAAGAAGCGUGCGAUUGGUUGUGCACGUCCAAGCAGUUAGGCUGAUAAGUAGGCAAAUCCGCUUAUCGUGAAGGCUGAGCUGUGAUGGGGAAGCUCCUUAUGGAGCGAAGUCUUUGAUUCCCCGCUGCCAAGAAAAGCUUCUAGCGAGAUAAAAGGUGCCUGUACCGCAAACCGACACAGGUAGGCGAGGAGAGAAUCCUAAGGUGUGCGAGAGAACUCUGGUUAAGGAACUCGGCAAAAUGACCCCGUAACUUCGGGAGAAGGGGUGCUUUCUUAACGGAAAGCCGCAGUGAAUAGGCCCAAGCGACUGUUUAGCAAAAACACAGCUCUCUGCGAAGCCGUAAGGCGAAGUAUAGGGGGUGACACCUGCCCGGUGCUGGAAGGUUAAGGAGAGGGGUUAGCGUAAGCGAAGCUCUGAACUGAAGCCCCAGUAAACGGCGGCCGUAACUAUAACGGUCCUAAGGUAGCGAAAUUCCUUGUCGGGUAAGUUCCGACCCGCACGAAAGGUGUAACGAUUUGGGCACUGUCUCAACCAGAGACUCGGUGAAAUUAUAGUACCUGUGAAGAUGCAGGUUACCCGCGACAGGACGGAAAGACCCCGUGGAGCUUUA